CACUGAAACAAAGUUACUGCAGCAACAAGUAACGUCACAGUGUUAAUAAUUGACAUGAAAAGAAUGAAAAGGUGAGCAAGGGAUAAAGAGGACAAAGGAAAGAUUUCAGUAUAAAUUUAUCCUGAGGCAACACAUGCAGGUCUGUCUGUGUCAUUCUUAGGCCACUUUCAGGCAGAUUGAGAAAAGCUGGAAAGUAAACACAGGUGUUUUAAAACUGGAGCCGCUGUCACGGACAACCACAAACACCCUUAACUCUGAUGUGGCAACGCCUCUUUCCCGCCCUCUCCUUUUUUAAAGCAGUGCCCAAAAAGAAAAUGUCAAAUGUUUCACCUUUCACCACCUCAAAAUAACUUUGAGCUUAAAGCAUUGUUUGGCAAAUCUCAAGCAAAUAGAUCAUUUUUUCAUUCCUUUUCAAAUGUAGUCAAUUAAAAUUAGCCACAUAAAAUAAA